CGGUGGCCAAGUGGUAAGGCGUCGGUCUCGUAAACCGAAGAUCACGGGUUCGAACCCCGUCCGUGCCUGCUCCUGUUCUCCCCUGUGAAGGGACUUUUUAUAGUUGACCUCUUUUCAAGAGUGACCGUCACAGGUCCCCACUGGUUCUCCAGGACCGUUGGUGGCACUCACUCUUUUCUUUCAGCCUCGUUUCACAAACUCCUCCUUUCCACCCUUCCGUGGUCGAACCUCGGCCCUUCUGGACCGCCAGCUUUGCUUGGGUCUCUCUGAAAGCAGCGCCCACUGUGGGCCACGAGGUGCUUAUGCCUCUGGGAGAAUUUGCAGAGCCGCAAUCUGGAAGGGUCACCUGCCCAUCCUCCGGUAGGAGCUUCGCAAUGACUGGCCCCCGGCUGGCUUCAGGGCACUUCACGUUUUUCUGGUUACCCGUCCUAAAGAAAGGACCGUUGUUGUCCCAGCCCACACCCACAGCCAGCCAGUGUCUGUCUCGCUUGCAAUGUUUAAAAGGAAACCCUCGCAGGGGGCAUCGCCUUCGGGAAGAGAGCAAUCCCUGCUCGGACUUGGAACGAUUCUGACCUGAAAAUGUAAACCCCUGGCUCGGAGCCUCCUUUCAACCCCGCGCUAAAGUGGGUCACGUGGCCCAGAGGUGGCGUUGGCGAGGGAGCAGCCAGGCACUGGCUGCAGAGGUGGCCUCUGCACACGGAGCGGCAUGCCUGUCACAUUACAUCACAGAGGUGUGAUUUGUAUCAUCAAAGGAUGUACUGUACCGGAGGGCGCCCCAAGUGCCUCUGACGAGGUCGUUGUCUGACUCCAACUCCCAGACCAGAGUCUUGUAGACUCUGACAGACAUCUUGACCUGAUUUGUGGAAAGUGUAUCGGACCUGUCUGAGAUUGAAGCAAGUACCAAUGGAGCUGGCCACACUCUGAGAACCGCUGCCCUGCUGAGAGUCAUACCACAAAGCCACAUUGCCAACUCAGGAAAGAGAAUGUGCUAUGGACGGUAAUCCAUGGCAAAGUAGUGCCUGGAGGUGCUAGGAAGAUGGCUGGGCCAGAACGUUCUUGUUGGGCAGUGAUCAGGACCUGAGUUCAGACCCCCAGAACCUACAUUUAAAAACAAAAACAAAAAACAAACAAAAAGACAUGAGAGUGCAGGAUCUUAUCCACAAAAGAAAGAAUCGGGAGGGAAAGGGAGAGAAAGGCUGCAAGGGUGGCCUUUGAGAACAAACGCAAUUGUUGGACGACCGCAGAGUGAAGACGCCAGCAGGACGGCUCCCCAGCCAGGGGUCCACUCCUCUUGCUGUGUUUUGUUUUCUCUAUUCACUUCUUCUUGAAGAGCUACAAAAGAGCACUUAGGUGCUUCCCCUAUUAAAAAUGUCUCCAAACCAGAUGUGGUGGUACAUGCCUGUAAUAUCAGCACAUUGGGGAAGCUGAGGCAGGAGGAUGGAGAGUUCAAAGGCAGCCUGGGCUAUAUAUAAGGCUCUAUUUCAAGAAACGAUACAACAAUAACAAAAACAAAUCUGGUUUGGGCAGAGCACUUGCAUUCACAAAGUCCUGAGAUUUCAUCCCCAGCAAACACUAGAGCGUGUGCACACAGACACACACACACACACAGACACACAGAGGAAGGGGAGGGAGAGAGAGAAUAAGGGUUCACUUAUGAGUUAUUUUCUGUUUAAAAAAAUAUUGUGUCUGUGUAUGUACAUUUUCAUGGCUGUGUACGUGGGUGGAGGCUAAGGGUCAACAUCAGAUGUCUUCCCCUAUUGCUCUCCACCUUAUUUUUUGAGACACCUCUCUCUCAGGAACCUGGAGCUCCCUAGUUCUGCUUGACUCUGCUGCCAGCAGUCUCCAAGGAUUCACCUGACUCCUUCACCCACCAAUACGAGGGUUACAGGCAUGCAGUGCGCUCCCCGUCCAGCUUUUUACUUGGAGCUGGGGAGUCUGAAGUCAGGCCCUUAGCAGAGUCUCCUUGAAGGCUGCUGCCUUUGUGAAAAGUCACACACAGGCCCUCUGUAGAUUGGGAAGGGAAGGGAAGAAGGUCGCUGGUGCUGAGAAAGAAGGGGCUGAGCAGUGUCCUUCCUUCUAAGACCCCAACAUGGGAAAUGACCCCCAGGGAGAAGCAAAGGGCUUCUUCGAGCAAAAGGAGCCUAAAUUCCCAGACAGACCAGCAGCAGGAUCAAAGGAAGAACUGCUUGUCAACACAGUGCACAGGUGCAACACUGCCACCCCAUGGCAGCAUGAAGCAAAAGCAUUCAUGCAUCCUACCCGGCCCCGGUGUGAAGAGCCUCUUCCCUACGCCUGGGUCCCUUCGCUGUAGAGGACACACAGUCAUUUAUUUCUUCUAUUGUGGACGUUUUCCUUCCAUUGUUGGGGAUGAGGUGAUCCCAGGGCCUUCAGUGUGCUAGGUAAACACUCUAACACUGAAUUACACCCUCCUUUGUUU